GAGUCAUGCCUUGGGAGGCCGGCUCGGAGCCGGUGCCGUUCCUGCACUGUUCCGUAGGCUCUGCUGGUCGCGGCUCCCUGCCGGCACUCGGCGUGCCCCGUCAGAUGUGUGGAAAACAGACAUCAGCCCCCGCCCGUCACGUUGGCCUUGCGUCUUAAACCACGGCAGGACUGGAGUGGGAGCGUACACAAAUUCUUGUUGUGGCUUCCUGGAGAAAGCUAAAGGAUGAGCUCGGAAAUGCUGCUGUGAAGAUAGGCGGGAAAACUGGAAGCUGUUCUGAGACGCGCGCUUACCGUGGAAACCUAGUCGUGCUCCCUAAGAGCGCAGAAAGCCGUGUGGGUGGCUUAUGCUGUGAGGGGAGCUCCCAGCGCACAGAGCUGCACUGCGCUGAGACCCGACAGCUCCACCAGCAUUGCAAGGGCUGCAGGCAGCUUCGCUGUGUAGAAGGAUUUCUGAACUUAAAGGGAGGAUAUUCAGAUCACUCGGUUUAACUCCACUGGCUAUCUCUCUAAAACAAGCCACACACCAUCAGUUCACUGGGAAUAGAACUAUUCUGAAUACCAUGCUUUGAUCCAGCAUGAAGGAAGACAAUUUUAAUGAGUUAAGAGGCUCUUAAAGAAUUUGUUCUUGGAGUUUGAGGACUUUCAACUAUCUGGAAACGAUACAUAGUCUGCAAAAACAAAGGAAAUAUGGGAGAGAAAAUCUCCAUCUUAAAUCCCGGGUGCACUCUGUGAAGAGCCUUACGCUAUGCAAGCAUUCUAAGAACCGGUGAUGUGGCUGAAGGCUAUUACUUUCAGGAUCAAAUACCAAACAAAACAAAAAACAAACAGCAAAGAAAUACAAACUAUCUCCCCAGGUAAGAACAUGGAUCUUGCCUUUUUUUUCAAUUCCAGUUUUAUGCUUUCUUUAUCUUUACUGAAUUCAUUCUUGAAUAUCUCAGCAUAA